GUGGCUCCCUCCGGGACAGGACAGGCAUGUCUGCGAUCUCUGAGGAUUUACUUAGUAAUGGGAGGACUGAAGAGGGGAGCGUGAUUCUUGGAAACAUGAGGAAACGGAGGCACACAGGAAUACCGAGGGAGAAAUAUUUCUGGUGACCCCCUGGGAGAUGCUGUCCUGGGCUGUGUGGAGCAGUGAUCUGACGGUGACCGGUACAACCCUUCAGCGACCAGUACAAUGCCUGGCACAUGUGUGCUCUCCUCCUCCAUUUUUUGGAACAGCCUGCACACUAUUGUUUGGUCAGGACCGGAUGAGAAGCGGUAGAGAGAACACAGUCAAAUUUUCCAUGAUCAUUCUAGGCCUCCUGAAUGUAACAAUCAGAGAGAAAUGGAGUGAGCCCACCUCUGACCCUACCUCAGCUUCACAUAAAAGAGAUGCAGGUCAGGCAUGCACAGAGAAGUUCUCCACAUGUGCUCCUUACUCCACCCAACACGUGCACUACGAUUGCUACAAUUCCCCACAGAGUCCAUGUGUUGUGCAGAUGUCAACCCACAUGAAAAGAGAGCGAGAACCCAGAAGCCCCUUCGAGAGUUAAAGGAGCCAAGUGGGAUCCCAUUCUUGUUCACUGACAUUAAAGUUCGGCACCGACAUCACCGUACAGCAUUAAAAGCAGAGUGUUAUAAAAGGGGAUCCAGGUAGCUCAUUUCUGUUCAUCAUCAACCAGUCGUUUGGGUGUCCUGUUGACAUUCAUUUUGGAAUGUAUAAACGGGGCAUCGUAUUUUUGCUGUGUGCUUCCAGGUUGAGCUGAUGGAGUCAAUUAUUUUAACCAGGUUUUCUGAACUUCCUCAGUAUCACUCAAUAAAUCAAUCAUAGGCAUCGAGUGUUUUGCCAGGUGCAGAGAUGGGUAUUAAACAC